CUCAACUGUUCUGGGGGAACUACGGUCAGCUUCAUAAUGUAAAAUAAUGUGACUGGCUCAACUGUUCUGGGGGAACUACGGUCAGCUUCAUAAGGUAAAAUAAUGUGACUGGCUCAACUGUUCUGGGGGAACUACGGUCAGCUUCAUAAUGUAAAAUAAUGUGACUGGCUCAACUGUUCUGGGGGAACUACGGUCAGCUUCAUAAUGUAAAAUAAUGUGACUGGCUCAACUGUUCUGGGGGAACUACGGUCAGCUUCAUAAGGUAAAAUAAUGUGACUGGCUCAACUGUUCUGGGGGAACUACGGUCAGCUUCAUAAUGUAAAAUAAUGUGACUGGCUCAACUGUUCUGGGGAACUACGGUCAGCUUCAUAAGGUAAAAUAAU
ensembl:lncRNA